ACCGGCUAACUUCGUGCCAGCAGCCGCGGUAAUACGAAGGGUGCAAGCGUUACUCGGAAUUACUGGGCGUAAAGCGUGCGUAGGUGGUGGUUUAAGUCUGUUGUGAAAGCCCUGGGCUCAACCUGGGAAUUGCAGUGGAUACUGGGUCACUAGAGUGUGGUAGAGGGUAGCGGAAUUCCCGGUGUAGCAGUGAAAUGCGUAGAGAUCGGGAGGAACAUCCGUGGCGAAGGCGGCUACCUGGACCAACACUGACACUGAGGCACGAAAGCGUGGGGAGCAAACAGGAUUAGAUACCCUGGUAGUCCACGCCCUAAACGAUGCGAACUGGAUGUUGGGUGCAAUUUGGCACGCAGUAUCGAAGCUAACGCGUUAAGUUCGCCGCCUGGGGAGUACGGUCGCAAGACUGAAACUCAAGGAAUUGACGGGGGCCCGCACAAGCGGUGGAGUAUGUGGUUUAAUUCGAUGCAACGCGAGGACCUUACCUGGUCUUGACAUCGACGGAACUUUCAGAGAUGGAUUGGUGCUUUCGGCA
rnacentral:rRNA from 1 species